UCUCUUAAUCUCUUUCUCUAACUUCUCUGAAUCCCUUUCUCUACUUCUCUAAUUAGUAAACCAGAAAUGAUAAUAAACCAUUUUCAUGUAAUGGGUUCUCUAAUUUAUCAUUUUCAUGUAAUGGGUUCUGCAAAUUUUAUCAACAACAGUAGAUAUCUUUAGCUAUUGAUGGAAAACCUAAAAAAUUCACAAAAUUUUUCUGUAAUUUUCUCAUUAUUCUUGAGAGUUGUUUCGUUUGAUGCAUGCGGAGGAAUUGCAUAAACACAGAUCUUCUUAAGGAGAGGAUGAAUCUAACUUGGGACAGCUACGGGAUGGUGGGAGAUGAAUGCGAUGGCUGCUGUAAAUUUGGAGGAGAUCAAAAGAAAAAUUCAGUGACUCAACAAUAUUUAUUUCCAGAUCUUCGAGUGCAUACUCAACACUUCAGUUAUCAAAGGACGAUCCAGUGAAUUCAUACACCACAAACCUACUAUAUCGAUCAUCUUUUUAUGGUAGCCUCUUCUCUUCUUCAGUCAUUACCCCAGCAACCAAGAACCGGAUCUGGGAAAUACAGUCGUGAAAUGAAUGAUUAAUUGUCAGUAGUUAGCGUUACUUUGAUAUUCUGCAAUUCAAACAUAUAAUAUGUCAAAUUACAUGUUUGCAUCUUCUAUGUGUGGUUUAUUAAUGUAUUAAUUGCUGUAAUUUCAACUACAUUUUUGGUCACCUGGUUGAUUUUAAGAGAUGGAAAUUGAAAUGUUGGAAAUUAAAAUUUUAAGAGAUGGAAAUUGAAAUGUUGAUGA